UUCCUGGUGAUCUAGUGGUUAGGAUUUAGUGCUUUCACCACUGUGACCUUGGUUCAAUCCCUAGUCUGGGAA
rnacentral:tRNA from 1 species